UUGGCUCAGUUGGUAGAGCAUGGUGUUUGCAACGCCAGGAUUGUGGGUUCAAUUCCCACA
rfam:Salmo salar isolate Sally breed double haploid chromosome ssa01, whole genome shotgun sequence.